rnacentral:rRNA from 1 species
UACGAAGGUGGCAAGCGUUGUUCGGAUUCACUGGGCAUAAAGGGCGCGUAGGCGGUUCCGAAAGUGAUCUGUGAAAGCCCCCGGCUCAACCGGGGAAGUGCAGGUCAAACUUCGGUACUCGAGGCUGGGAGGGGAGACUGGAACUCUCGGUGGAGCGGUGAAAUGCGUAGAUAUCGAGAGGAACACCGGUGGCGAAGGCGAGUCUCUGGUCCAGCACUGACGCUGAGGCGCGAAAGCGUGGGUAGCAAACAGGAUUAGAAACCCUCGUAGUCC